UGGUGGCGAGUGGCGAACGGGAAAAAGGCGCCUCAGAACGUAUCCUUAAGUGGGGGAUAACGCAUAAAACGAAGCGCUAAUACCGCAUAAUCUCUGAGGAAAAAAACGGGGAUCGCAAGACCUUGCGCUUUUGGAGCGGCCGAUGUCUGAUUAGCUAGUUGGUGAGGUAAAGGCUUACCAAGGCUUCUAUCAGUAGCUGGUCUGAGAGGACGACCAGCCACACUGGGACUGAGACACGGCCCAGACUCCUACGGGAGGCAGCAGUGGGGAAUUUUGGACAAUGGGGGCAACCCUGAUCCAGCCAUGCCGCGUGAGUGAAGAAGGCCUUCGGGUUGUAAAGCUCUUUCAGCCGGAACGAAACGGUCACGGUUAAUAUUUUUUGAUUUUUUUACGGUACCGGACGAACAAGCACCGGCUAACUACGUGCCCAUCAGCC
rnacentral:rRNA from 1 species